GGGCCCGCACAAGCGGCGGAGCAUGCGGAUUAAUUCGAUGCAACGCGAAGAACCUUACCAAGGCUUGACAUAUAGAGGAAAAGUGCAGAAAUGCACUCCCCGCAAGGUCUCUAUACAGGUGGUGCAUGGUUGUCGUCAGCUCGUGUCGUGAGAUGUUGGGUUAAGUCCCGCAACGAGCGCAACCCUCGUCCUAUGUUGCCAGCACGUAAUGGUGGGAACUCAUGGGAUACUGCCGGGGUCAACUCGGAGGAAGGUGGGGAUGACGUCAAAUCAUCAUGCCCCUUAUGUCUUGGGCUUCACGCAUGCUACAAUGGCCGGUACAGAGGGAAGCUACCCCGUAAGGGGAUGCGGA
rnacentral:rRNA from 1 species